UACGGAGGGUGCGAGCGUUGUCCGGAAUUAUUGGGCGUAAAGGGCUCGUAGGCGGUUCGUCACGUCGGGGAGUGAAAACCCCGGGGGCUCAACCCCCGGGCCUGCAUUCGAUACGGGCAGACUAGAGUUCGGUAGGGGAGUCUGGAAUUCCUGGUGUAGCGGUGAAAUGCGCAGAUAUCAGGAGGAACACCGGUGGCGAAGGCGGGACUCUGGGCCGAUACUGACGCUGAGGAGCGAAAGCGUGGGGAGCAAACAGG
rnacentral:rRNA from 1 species